GUUUACAUUCUAUAAAUGGCAAGUGUUCUCUGUUUGGAAGCUGUUCGCCUCGAAGUUUCAAUUACCGAUUCCAGGCAAGUCGUAAUGGAUGAUAAGUUUAUUAUUUCAGCAAU